rnacentral:rRNA from 1 species
AUUGAACGCUGGCGGCAGGCCUAACACAUGCAAGUCGAACGAGCGGCGGACGGGUGAGUAAUGUCUGGGGAACUGCCUGAUGGAGGGGGAUAACUACUGGAAACGGUAGCUAAUACCGCAUACCAUCAGAUGUGCCCAUAUGGGAUUAGCUAGUUGGUGAGGUAACGGCUCACCAAGGCGACGAUCCCUAGCUGGUCUGAGAGGAUGAACAGCCACACUGGAACUGAGACCCGGCCCAGACUCCUACGGGAGGCAGCAGUGGGGAAUAUUGCACAAUGGGCGCAAGCCUGAUGCAGCCAUGCCGCGUGUAUGAAGAAGGCCUUCGGGUUGUAAAGUACUUUCAGCCGGGAGGCGUUACCCGCAGAAGAAGCACCGGCUAACUCCGUGCCAGCAGCCGCGGUAAUAC